ACUCAUUAAAAGAGUGCGUAAUAGCUCACUGGUCGAGUGACUCUGCGCGGAAAAUAUAACGGGGCUAAGCAUGAAACCGAAGCUUGGGCUUGUCUUAGGACAGGGGUAGGGGAGCGUCGAGUAUGGGGUGAAGUCAGAGCGGAAGCACUGGUGGACUGUACUGGAGUGAGAAUGCCGGAAUGAGUAGCGAGAAUUAUGUGGGAAUCAUAAUGGCCGAAAAUCUAAGGUUUCUUGGGGAAGGUUCGUCCGCCCAAGGUAAGCCGGGAGCUAAGGCGAGGCCGCAAGGCGUAGUCGAUGCACAUACGGUAGAAAUUCCGUAGCCACCGAACCUUAAACCGGAAGGACACUUUGAGAUAGCAGAACCCAGCCGUUGGUUGAGCUGGGCGUAAGGGACUGAAAUAUAGUAGGGAAGUCUGCGAUGCUCAGAGGCGAGAAAAGCUCUGAGGUAUGCUAAGGUGCCCGUACCGCAAACCGACACAGGUAGAUGAGGAGAGAAUCCUAAGGCCAACGGGAGAAGGGUUGUUAAGGAACUCGGCAAAUUGACCCCGUAACUUCGGAAGAAGGGGAGCCUCGAAAGAGGCCGCAGUGAAUAGGCCCAAGCAACUGUUUACCAAAAACACAGGUCUAUGCUAAAUCGAAAGAUGACGUAUAUGGGCUGACGCCUGCCCGGUGCCGGAAGGUUAAGAGGAGAUGUCAGGCAACGAAGCAUUGAAUUUAAGCCCCGGUAAACGGCGGCCGUAACUAUAACGGUCCUAAGGUAGCGAAAUUCCUUGUCAGGUAAGUUCUGACCCGCACGAAUGGCGUAAUGAUUUGGGCACUGUCUCGACAGCCCGCCCGGCGAAAUUGUAGUACUGGUGAAGAUGCCAGUUACCCGCAACUAGACGGAAAGACCCCAUGGAGCUUUACUGCAGUUUAAUACUGGGAAUCGGUAAUUCAUGUACAGGAUAGGUGGGAGACUGAGAAGCAUGGCCGUCAGGUCGUGUGGAGUCACCGGUGGGAUACCACUCUUGGAUUGCUGGUUUCCUAACCUGCGGCCCUGAAUCGGGUCGGGGGACACUGUUAGACGGGCAGUUUGACUGGGGCGGUCGCCUCCAAAAGAGUAACGGAGGCGCUCAAAGGUUCGUUCAGCACGGACGGAAAUCGUGCAUUGAGUGUAAACGCAUAAACGAGCCUAACUGCGAGACCGACGGGUCGAGCAGUAACGAAAGUUGGAGUUAGUGAUCCGGUGGUAUGUGAGUGGAAAUGCCAUCGCUCAACGGAUAAAAGCUACCCUGGGGAUAACAGGCUGAUCUCCCCCAAGCGUCCACAGCGACGGGGAGGUUUGGCACCUCGAUGUCGGCUCGUCGCAUCCUGGGGCUGAAUUCGGUCCCAAGGGUUUGGCUGUUCGCCAAUUAAAGCGGCACGCGAGCUGGGUUCAGAACGUCGUGAGACAGUUCGGUCCCUAUCUGUUGCGGGCGUAAGAGAUUUGAAGGGAGCUGUCCUUAGUACGAGAGGACCGGGAUGGACGUACCUCUGGUGCACCAGUUGUCCUGCCAAGGGCAUAGCUGGGUAGCUAUGUACGGACGAGAUAAACGCUGAAAGCAUCUAAGCGUGAAACUCCCCCUAAGAUGAGAUCUCUCAUCCUUUAAGGAGUAAGGACCCAGAAAGACGAUCUGGUUGAUAGGCCGAAGGUGGAAGCGCAGUAAUGUGUGCAGCUGAUCGGUACUAAUAGUCCGAGGGCUUGACCUA
rnacentral:ncRNA from 1 species